rnacentral:rRNA from 1 species
UACAGAGGGUGCAAGCGUUGCUCGGAUUUACUGGGCGUAAAGCGUACGCAGACGGCUUGGUAGGUCGGAUGUGAAAGCCCCGGGUCAUCCAGGCCAGGUAGUCAUCCGAAACCACCUCGCUCGAGUGUGGGAGAGGGAAGCGGAAUUCCUGGUGUAGAGGUGAAAUUCGUAGAUAUCAGGAGGAACACCGGCGGCGAAGGCGGCUUCCUGGCCCAUUACUGACGUUCAGGUACGAAAGCGUGGGUAGCAAACAGG